rnacentral:rRNA from 1 species
UACGUAGGGGGCAAGCGUUGUCCGGAAUCAUUGGGCGUAAAGCGCGUGUAGGCGGCUCGAUAAGUCUGCUGUGAAAGUCCAGGGCUCAACCCUGGGAUGCCGGUGGAUACUGUCGAGCUCGAGUCCGGAAGAGGAGUGUGGAAUUCCUGGUGUAGCGGUGAAAUGCGCAGAUAUCAGGAGGAACACCAAUGGCGAAGGCAGCACUCUGGGACGUGACUGACGGCUGAGACGCGAAAAGCGUGGGGAGCAAACAGG